UAAGGCCUUUCAAAAAACUGAUUUCUUUUUCUGGGAUAUUCACUCUAAUGACGAAUACAUAAAUAGUAAAUAUCUGUUAAUGUCGAAAUAUUGCCAAUUAAAAAGGCGAUCUUUUUUUUACUGAUAGUCUGAUGACAUGAUGUAGAUCAAUCAGAUUACGCAACAAGUAAACUAAUUUAAUUUUCGCUAGGUAUUCAAUCACACACUCACGAUGGCAACCGGAAUCGCCCGAUUGAUCUGCCCCUUAGACAAGUUGCAAAAUCUGACAUUCUAUUCGGAUUCGAACAGAUUCGAUUUUCGAAAAGUGUGACUUGUCUAGUCUACUAGACCCACUGAUCGCGUUCGAAGCACCUGUGCGGCGCUAAACUCGUCACAACAUGCAACGAGAUAAUGGUCCAACUAUCCGGCCGCCGGAUAUCCGGCUAUCCGGCCUAGCAGCUGGCCGGAUAUCCGGUAUCCGGCCAAACAACUAUCCGUUUCAUCUCUAGUAAAGAUAACGGAUUAUAUUAUAAAGAAGCGUAACGGAAUAUGUCUCAAUUUCCUUAUUAUACCGUGUGGCCUUGCAUAAAGUACAACCCGGGAAGGGGGUGAAACUACAUCAUAAAUUAUUAUCGAUAAAACAUAUUCUUUAUAAUACAAUUUUUGUAAAUAAAAAAAAUAUGAACUGAUCAAAUUUCUAUAGAUCUAUAGACAUUUUAUUACAAAAUUUGUAAUAGUUUAUGCAGGACCACACCGUAUUAUUAGAAAGAGUCACGAAAGGCGGAGCCAUGAUAACUUCUUCGAAAAGUGUGUCAGGCGGGGCCUUGUUCUACUUAUCAUUAAACGCGCGAGCGAUACUCGCAUCUAACGCAUUCCAUUAUUGAUAAAAUUCAAAUUAAAUUAAUUAUUAAGGAUUAAAAUAUGUAAUCAGGUGAUAAUUUAUCAACAAAGGAAUUUUACUUGUGUUCGUAAUUUUCGCUGACGUCGAAUUAUUCGCGCCAAUAAUGGUUGCAGAAAUCUGCAUCAGUAGGCAUAGCUUAAAAAUUGUAUACAAAAAGUUAACAAUUUAUACGGUAAACGUUAAUUGUUUCUAAUUGGAAUUGAUAAGAUUAAUUAAUAAUUGAAAAGGAAUUGAUUUUAUAAAAUUGACUUUUGUGUCAUUGAAACAGAAACUGGAUUUAAUGUAUCAAACAGAAGUACACCACUCACUUGUAGGGAGCGUUGAAUUCGGAUAUAGUAUCAGUCAAUACUCAAUACUCAAGUAUUGAGUCUUCCCUAGAAUGGCUUUUAAUGAAAUACGGUAUGUUUAUUGGUUCAUGAAUAUUAAGUAAUGAUUUAGUGGAAACUUAUUCGAGUUACACUGAGUAUCCAGAUCCAGAUUAGUUGAUUAGCACUAUAUUAUGUCUAUUAUGUGUUGAUUGUUGUGUUAAAUACAUUAUGUAAGUUUACAUACAUUUACAUGUUAAAUCUUGCAAAGUAACAAAUGUAGUGAAGUUUUAACUGUCAUUUUCGAUCCUGAUGAUGUUGGCCUCUUCCUGGCGUCUGAUAUAUCUAUUAUAUCGGUAUAAUUCCCAUGGAUUAAAGAAGUCAGUUGUAUUUAAGGCAUCAUAUCAAUAGUUUACUUGUCGUCAAAUCUUACGGUAGCGAUUGCUACUGGCCCUCCCUAAAUUGGUGAAGUUUUACAAACCGUAAUAAUUUGAGGAGUCUUUCUUAUAUUAAAAUUAUUAAUUAUAUUUUUUUUGUACAAAAAGUAUUUAAAAAUGAAUAAAUAUUAACUUGCUGGCUUGGGCAUUGCUCUCGCAUCCGUAAGACUUGAUACAUAAGCCUAGACUUGCACUGACUCCUAGAAUCCAUGUCGUAGACGAGUGUUCGGGAGACACGCCUUCUGCCCAUAGACGACAACAUUGAACCUCAGUGCAUUAAAUGUAUCGUAACCUUAGAAUUAAGUCUAACCGUGUAUGGAUCCUAAAUUCUACACAUUCACUAUAUCGCAGUGCCUACCUUUUUGUUAUAAAAGAGUAACGUUUUCACUAUUUAUAUGUAUUUUUAUAAGUGUAUAGUGAAGAAUGAGUACUGUGACGAACCAAACCAAUUGGUCUUGCAAGUUUGGACAAACCUGUCAAGAGCGCGGUAGGUCAGAGGGAGAGGGAGCGCGCCAGCCGUCGCGCGUCGGCCCGAGUGGUAGGAGGCCGCGGCCCGGUGGUAGGAGGCCGCGGCCUGGUGGUAGGAGGCCGCGGCCCGGUGGUGGGGGCAGCGGCCCGGUGGCAGCAGGUCGCGGCCCGGUGGAAGCGGGCCGCAGCCCCAUGCCCCGCUGCGAGUGGCGCGCUUCAGGUUGUUUCCAGUGAUUAAGGUUUAAUUAUGCCAUCGACUCGGUGCGAAUUGACAUACCUACCUACAUAGAUAGAAUUAAUUUAAAAUUGCGGCCUGGCCCUAUAUAGUUUAUGUUAAAAAUAUCAUACAUUAUUGUGAUUAUUAAAGUGUUGAACGAUA